rnacentral:rRNA from 1 species
CAAUAGCGUAUAUUAAAGUUGUUGCAGUUAAAAAGCUCGUAGUUGGAUUUCGGGAUGGCUCGGCCGGUCUGCCGCAAGGUAUGUUACUGGCCGCGCUGUUCUUCUUCGCAAAGACUGUGUGUGCUCUUAACUGAGUGUGCAUAGGAUCUGCGACGUUUACUUUGAAAAAAUUAGAGUGUUCAAAGCAAGCCAGCGCUUGAAUACAUAAGCAUGGAAUAAUGGAAUAGGACUUUGGUUCUAUUUUGUUGGUUUCUGGAACCGAAGUAAUGAUUAAGAGAGACAGUUGGGGGCAUUCGUAUUUCGUUGUCAGAGGUGAAAUUCUUGGAUUUACGAAAGACGAACUACUGCGAAAGCAUUUGCCAAGAAUGUUUNCAUUAA